rnacentral:rRNA from 1 species
GGGCUGCAACUGGGAAUCUUGCGCAAUGGACGAAAGUCUGACGCAGCGACGCCGCGUGUGGGAAGAAGGCCUUCGGGUCGUAAACCACUGUGGAAAGGGAAUAAAAAAAUGAAGGUACCUUUCUAGAAAGCACCUGCUAACUACGUGCCAGAAGCCUCGGUAAUACGUAGGGUGCAAGCGUUAUCCGGAUUUAUUGGGCGUAAAGCGUUCUGUAGGCGGUUUUGUAAGUAUAUGGUUAAAGGCUUCGGCUCAACCGAAGAAAUGCUGUGUAAACUACAAGACUAGAUGGUUAUCGGGAGUAUCGGAAUUCUUGGUGGAGGGGUGAAAUCCGUUGAUAUCAAGAGGAACACCAAAGGCGAAGGCAGAUACUUAGGUAAUUCAUGACGCUGAUAGACGACAGCUAGGGGAGCGAAAGGGAUUAGAUACCCGAGUAGUC